UCGGAAGAAUGCAGAAGAUGCGACCGUGCCUUCGGGAACCGUAAGACAGGUGCUGCAUGGCUGUCGUCAGCUCGUGUUGUGAAAUGUUGGGUUAAGUCCCGCAACGAGCGCAACCCUUAUCCUUAGUUGCCAGCACGUAAUGGUGGGAACUCUAGGGAGACUGCCGGUGAUAAACCGGAGGAAGGUGGGGACGACGUCAAGUCAUCAUGGCCCUUACGAGUAGGGCUACACACGUGCUACAAUGGUAUGUACAGAGGGAGGCAAGCUGGCGACAGUGAGCGGAUCUCAUAAAGCAUAUCGUAGUCCGGAUUGGAGUCUGCAACUCGACUCCAUGAAGUCGGAAUCGCUAGUAAU
rnacentral:rRNA from 1 species